GGUCUGGUAGUGUAGUGGUUAUCACGCGUCGUUCACAGAAGGUGAACACACAUCCGACGAGGUCCCCGGUUCGAUCCCGGGCCAGACCA